ACACGUGGGUGAUCUGCCCUGCACUUUGGGAUAAGCCUGGGAAACUGGGUCUAAUACCGAAUAGGACCACGCGCUUCAUGGUGUGUGGUGGAAAGCUUUUGCGGUGUGGGAUGGGCCCGCGGCCUAUCAGCUUGUUGGUGGGGUAAUGGCCUACCAAGGCGACGACGGGUAGCCGGCCUGAGAGGGUGACCGGCCACACUGGGACUGAGAUACGGCCCAGACUCCUACGGGAGGCAGCAGUGGGGAAUAUUGCACAAUGGGCGCAAGCCUGAUGCAGCGACGCCGCGUGAGGGAUGACGGCCUUCGGGUUGUAAACCUCUUUCAAUAGGGACGAAGCGCAAGUGACGGUACCUAUAGAAGAAGCACCGGCCAACUACGUGCCAGCAGCCGCGGUAAUACGUAGGGUGCGAGCGUUGUCCGGAAUUACUGGGCGUAAAGAGCUCGUAGGUGGUUUGUCGCGUUGUUCGUGAAAACUCACAGCUUAACUGUGGGCGUGCGGGCGAUACGGGCAGACUAGAGUACUGCAGGGGAGACUGGAAUUCCUGGUGUAGCGGUGGAAUGCGCAGAUAUCAGGAGGAACACCGGUGGCGAAGGCGGGUCUCUGGGCAGUAACUGACGCUGAGGAGCGAAAGCGUGGGGAGCGAACAGGAUUAGAUACCCUGGUAGUCCACGCCGUANACGGUGGGUACUAGGUGUGGGUUCCUUCCUUGGGAUCCGUGCCGUAGCUAACGCAUUAAGUACCCCGCC
rnacentral:rRNA from 1 species